rnacentral:rRNA from 2 species
GAGUUUGAUCCUGGCUCAGAUUGAACGCUGGCGGCAGGCCUAACACAUGCAAGUCGAGCGGAUGAGUGGAGCUUGCUCCAUGAUUCAGCGGCGGACGGGUGAGUAAUGCCUAGGAAUCUGCCUGGUAGUGGGGGACAACGUUUCGAAAGGAACGCUAAUACCGCAUACGUCCUACGGGAGAAAGCAGGGGACCUUCGGGCCUUGCGCUAUCAGAUGAGCCUAGGUCGGAUUAGCUAGUUGGUGGGGUAAAGGCCUACCAAGGCGACGAUCCGUAACUGGUCUGAGAGGAUGAUCAGUCACACUGGAACUGAGACACGGUCCAGACUCCUACGGGAGGCAGCAGUGGGGAAUAUUGGACAAUGGGCGAAAGCCUGAUCCAGCCAUGCCGCGUGUGUGAAGAAGGUCUUCGGAUUGUAAAGCACUUUAAGUUGGGAGGAAGGGCAGUAAGUUAAUACCUUGCUGUUUUGACGUUACCAACAGAAUAAGCACCGGCUAACUUCGUGCCAGCCGCCGC